rnacentral:rRNA from 1 species
CCUACGGGAGGCUGCAGUGAGGAAUAUUGGUCAAUGGACGAGAGUCUGAACCAGCCAAGUAGCGUGAAGGAUGAAUGCCCUAUGGGUUGUAAACUUCUUUUAUAAAGGAAUAAAACGAGGCACGUGUGCCCUUUUGCAUGUACUUUAUGAAUAAGGAUCGGCUAACUCCGUGCCAGCAGCCGCGGUAAUACGGAGGAUCCGAGCGUUAUCCGGAUUUAUUGGGUUUAAAGGGAGCGUAGAUGGGUUGUUAAGUCAGUUGUGAAAGUUUGCGGCUCAACCGUAAAAUUGCAAUUGAUACUGGCAGUCUUGAGUACAGUUGAGGUAGGCGGAAUGCGUGGUGUAGCGGUGAAAUGCUUAGAUAUCACGAAGAACCCCGAUUGCGAAGGCAGCUUACUAAACUGUGACUGACAUUGAUGCUCGAAAGUGUGGGUAUCAAACAGGAUUAGAUACCCUAGUAGUC